UACGUAGGGGGCAAGCGUUUGUCCGGAAUCAUUGGGCGUAAAGCGCGCGUAGGCGGCCCGGUAAGUCCGCUGUAAAAGUCCAGGGCUCAACCCUGGAAAGCCGGUGGAUACUGUCGGGCUAGAGUCCGGAAGAGGCGAGUGGAAUUCCCGGUGUAGUGGUGAAAUGCGUAGAUAUCGGGAGGAACACCAGUGGCGAAGGCGACUACCUGGCCUGUUCUUGACGCUGAGGCGCGAAAGCUAGGGGAGCAAACGGG
rnacentral:rRNA from 1 species